AAGGUUUAUGGGCAGAUGGUGGAUGCCUCGGGAGCGGGAGGCGAUGAAGGACGUGGCGUGGCUGCGAUAAGCCUCGGGGAGGUGUCUAGCAACCUUUGAUCCGGGGAUUUCCGAAUGGGGAAACCUGACGCUGUGGAAACAGCGUCGAGCGCUGUUCCACAGCGUAGUUAAUGAGUAAAUGAGUUUAUGAGUUGAUGAAUAAGAAAUUUUUUUCUCAUAAACUCAUUAACUAAAGGUGCGAAAGCACCGUGCUCAUAAACUGCGCUGCGGAGCAGCGCUGGCGAACCCGGGGAAGUGAAACAUCUCAGUACCCGGAGGAAAAGAAACCAAUUUAGUAAUGAGUUGAUGAGUUUAUGAGUUGAUGAGUAAAAUUCUCAUUAACUCAAGCUCGCGAAAACGAGCCUGCUCAUCUACUCAUUACUAGCCAUUCCCUAAGUAGCGGCGAGCGAACAGGGAAGAGCCCAAACCCUUCACCUUAAAAGGCGAAGGGGGUUGUAAGAAGAUAGCGUCGGGAGCCCCGCUUUCAUAUUUUUAGUAUGCAGGCGGGACUUGCCGAGGGAGAGUAUUUAGGCAAAGGUUGGUUAGGGGAAGCACCCUGGAAAGGGGCACCAUAGAGGGUGAUAGUCCCGUACCCGAAAACCCCUUUGCGCUCCUUGCUAUCUUUCUUGAGUACCCCGAGAAAUGAAAAUCUCGGGGGAAGUAGGCAGGACUAUCCUGCCAAGGCUAAAUACUACCCGCUCACCGAUAGUGAACUAGUACCGUGAGGGAAAGGUGAAAAGUAGCCCGGGAGGGCGGUGAAAUAGAACCUGAAACCAUCUGCUCACAAAGAGUGGGAGUUCCGCUUUUAGCGGAAUGACCGCGUGCUUUUUGCAGAACGAGCCAACGAGUUUACUUCUCCUGCUUGUCUAAGGGGUUCUGCCCCGAAGGCAAAGUGAAAGCGAGGGUUAACAGCCCGCGUUUUUGGCAGGAGAAGUAAGACCCGAAGCCAAGCGAGCUUGCCAUGGCCAGGGUGAAUUCCGCUGAAAAGCGGAAGGAGGCCCGAACCCGUGGAUCGUGCAAUAUCCUGGGAUGAGCUGUGGCAAGUAGUGAAAAGCUAAACGAGCUUGGGAAUAGCUGGUUCUCCCCGAAAUAGCUUUAGGGCUAGCCCCGCUGAUUUUGCUUUGUGGGGGUAGAGCACUGGAUGGUUUAUCGUGGGUUUUUCCCAGGUAAACCAACCAAACUCCGAAUACCACAAAGCCAAGGCGGGAGUCAGACCAUGGGAGCUAAGUUCCAUGGUCGAGAGGGGAACAGCCCUGACCACCAUCUAAGGUCCCUAAGUGCGAGCUAAGUGUUAUAAGGAAGUAUCUCGCCUUUGACAGGCAGGAAGUUAGCUUAGAGGUAGCUAUCUUUUAAAGAGUGUGUAACAACUCACUGUCCGAAUCCCGUUUUCAACGGGAGAGGCGAGAUGCGCCGAAGAAUUUAGGGGGCUUAAGCUCGCCACCGAAGAUGUGGGUUACUAGUUGAUGAGCUUAUGAGUAGAUGAGUCGAUGAGAGAAAAUUUCUCAUUACUCAUUUACUCAAGGCGCGAAGCGCCGUGCUCAUAAACUAGUAGCAGUAGGGGAGCGUCCCUAUUGCCCUGAAGUUCCGCUGUGAAGCGGGAUGGAGCGAUAGGGAGUGAGAAUGUUGGCAUGAGUAACCGCAAUCCCGCAGAGUAUGCGGGACACCGAAAGCCUAAGGUUUCCUUGGCAAUGAUAAUCAGCCAAGGGUUAGGCGGCCCUAAUCCCGCUGACCGAAAGGUAGCGGGAGAUGGACAGCCGGUUAAUAUUCCGGCCCUCCCUCACUAAUUCGAAGGGGUGCGGAGACGAGGCCUCUGGGCAGAUUAUUGGAUUUCUGUUCCUGCUCUGAGAGGAGACUCAAAGAGCGGGAGGAGUUAGAGCUUCGGCUCUAGCAACUCGGAGGCGCAGUCUUCCUAGAAAAGCCCCUGAGAAUCUAUUAGUGAGGGAACCGUACCGCAAAACCGACACAGGUAGGCUGGCAUAAGUGUGCCAAGGUGAACGGGUGAAAGCUCGCUAAGGAACUCGGCAAACAAGCGGCUGUAACCUCGGGAUAAGGCCUGCCCGCUUUUUAGCGGGCCGCAGCGAAAGUUGCCCUGGCGACUGUUUAUCAAAAACACAGGUCCCUGCUUAACUGGUAACAGGAUGUAUAGGGGCUGAGGCCUGACCAGUGCCCGUGUGUUAAAGUUGCCGGUACUCUACAUUUAGUGGAGUGCUGAGCGACUUAAGCCACGGGUGAACGUCCGCGGUAACUCUGACCGUGUUAAAGUAGCGUAAUCCCUUGCCGGGUAAGUUCCGGCCCGCAUGAAAGGUGUAACGACCAGGGCGCUGUCUCGGCGAGCUGCCCGGUGAAAAUGCAAUGCCCGUGAAGAUGCGGGCUACCUGCGGCUAGACGGAAAGACCCCGGGAGCUUUACUACAGGCUCUCAUUGGGUUAUUAACUUGGAUGCGUAGCGUAGCGGGGAGACUAUGAAGUCCUGCUUCCGGGCAGGAUGGAGUCGUCAAUGAAACACCCGCCUUUCAAGUUGAUAAUCCUAAUCCCGGUUUCAGCGGGAAACAGUGGGAGUCGGGUAGUUUAAGUGGGGCGCUUGCCUCCUAAAAAGUAACGGAGGCGUUUAAAGGUCGGCUAUCCCGCGAUGGAAAUGCGGGAGAUAGGGCAAAGCCAAAAGCCGGCUUUACUGCGAGGCGGACAAGCCGAGCAGUUGCGAAAGCAGAACUUAGUGAACCGAUGCCGUUUCGGUCAUAGAAGCGGCAGAGAUAACCGGAUAAAAGCUACCCCGGGGAUAACAGGCUGGUAGGGCCCGAGAGUCCACAUCGACGGCCCUGUUCGGCACCUCGAUGUCGGCUCAUCACAUCCUGGGGCUGGAGAAGGUCCCAAGGGUUGGGCUGUUCGCCCAUUAAAGUGGUACGUGAGCUGGGUUCAGUACGUCGUGAGACAGUACGGUCCCUAUCUACCGCAGGCGUCGGAGUCUUGAGGGGAGUUGCCCGUAGUACGAGAGGACCCGGGCGAGCCAACCUCUGGUGUACCAGCUGUCGCGCCAGCGGCACCGCUGGGUAGCUAAGUUGGUUCGGGAUAAGCGCUGAAGGCAUCUAAGCGCGAAGCCCACCCCAAGAUUAGGACUCCAAGGCCCCCUGGAGAUGACAGGGUUGAUAGGCUCCAGGUGUAAGUCCCGUAAGGGAUUUAGCCAAGGAGUACUAAUGGCCAAAAACUUC
rnacentral:rRNA from 1 species